UGACUUAGCUCAGUUGGCAGAGCAUCGCAUUAGUAAUGCGGAGGUCGGAGGUUCGAAUCCUCUAGUCAG
rnacentral:tRNA from 1 species